AGAGUUUGAUCCUGGCUCAGAUUGAACGCUGGCGGCAUGCCUUACACAUGCAAGUCGAACGGCAGCGCGGGGCAACCUGGCGGCGAGUGGCGAACGGGUGAGUAAUAUAUCGGAACGUACCCUGGAGUGGGGGAUAACGUAGCGAAAGUUACGCUAAUACCGCAUACGAUCUAAGGAUGAAAGUGGGGGAUCGCAAGACCUCAUGCUCCUGGAGCGGCCGAUAUCUGAUUAGCUAGUUGGUAGGGUAAAAGCCUACCAAGGCAUCGAUCAGUAGCUGGUCUGAGAGGACGACCAGCCACACUGGAACUGAGACACGGUCCAGACUCCUACGGGAGGCAGCAGUGGGGAAUUUUGGACAAUGGGCGCAAGCCUGAUCCAGCAAUGCCGCGUGAGUGAAGAAGGCCUUCGGGUUGUAAAGCUCUUUUGUCAGGGAAGAAACGGUGAACUCUAAUACAGUUUGCUAAUGACGGUACCUGAAGAAUAAGCACCGGCUAACUACGUGCCAGCAGCCGCGGUAAUACGUAGGGUGCAAGCGUUAAUCGGAAUUACUGGGCGUAAAGCGUGCGCAGGCGGUUUUGUAAGUUUGUCGUGAAAUCCCCGGGCUCAACCUGGGAAUGGCGAUGAAGACUGCAAGGCUAGAGUUUGGCAGAGGGGGGUAGAAUUCCACGUGUAGCAGUGAAAUGCGUAGAUAUGUGGAGGAACACCGAUGGCGAAGGCAGCCCCCUGGGUCAAAACUGACGCUCAUGCACGAAAGCGUGGGGAGCAAACAGGAUUAGAUACCCUGGUAGUCC
rnacentral:rRNA from 1 species